GGCUCCGUGGCGCAAUGGAUAGCGCAUUGGACUUCUAGUCAAACACAAGAGACGUGAUUCAAAGGUUGUGGGUUCGAGUCCCACCGGAGUCG
rnacentral:tRNA from 1 species